ensembl:misc_RNA 7SK 7SK RNA
GAUGUGAGGGUGAUCUGGCUGUGACAUGUGUCACCUCAUCGAUCACCAGGGUUGAUUCAGCUGACCUUGCUGGCAAGGUGGGUGUCCCUUUCUUUCCUCACCACUC